rnacentral:rRNA from 1 species
GCUGGCGGCAGGCCUAACACAUGCAAGUCGAGCGGAAACGACACUAACAAUCCUUCGGGUGCGUUAAUGGGCGUCGAGCGGCGGACGGGUGAGUAAUGCCUAGGAAAUUGCCUUGAUGUGGGGGAUAACCAUUGGAAACGAUGGCUAAUACCGCAUGAUGCCUACGGGCCAAAGAGGGGGACCUUCGGGCCUCUCGCGUCAAGAUAUGCCUAGGUGGGAUUAGCUAGUUGGUGAGGUAAUGGCUCACCAAGGCGACGAUCCCUAGCUGGUCUGAGAGGAUGAUCAGCCACACUGGAACUGAGACACGGUCCAGACUCCUACGGGAGGCAGCAGUGGGGAAUAUUGCACAAUGGGCGCAAGCCUGAUGCAGCCAUGCCGCGUGUAUGAAGAAGGCCUUCGGGUUGUAAAGUACUUUCAGUUGUGAGGAAGGGGGUGUUGUUAAUAGCAACAUCUCUUGACGUUAGCAACAGAAGAAGCACCGGCUAACUCCGUGCCAGCAGCCGCGGUAAUACGGAGGGUGCGAGCGUUAAUCGGAAUUACUGGGCGUAAAGCGCAUGCAGGUGGUUCAUUAAGUCAGAUGUGAAAGCCCGGGGCUCAACCCCGGAACUGCAUUUGAAACUGGUGAACUAGAGUACUGUA